GACUUCCUGGAGUGUUUGUAAAGGGGACUGUGUAAUUCACCCUACAUAGAAUUCCAGGGAUGCCGAAGUCCGGUCGGCCAAGUGAGACCCACGUCAUGGUGGGGACACGGAGGCCGGCGGCAGGCAACCCACCUAUCCGACGAUAGGGCGUGAAUUAUUCUCCCUGAACGGCACUUCGGGUUUUUG
rnacentral:other from 1 species